rnacentral:sRNA from 1 species
CUGGGCAUCAAUUUCCUGGGAAGACGGCUGAGCCUUUCUAUUACCAUGGGAUGCACGGCUUUAUUCUUCCUUCUCCUCAACAUUUGCACUUCAAGUGCCGGCCUGAUUGGCUUCCUCUUCAUGCUGAGGGCUCUGGUAGCUGCAAACUUCAACACCGUCUACAUUUACACAGCUGAGGUUCUUAUGAGUGCAUCAAUACUGGGGGCCCUGUGUCUCUUCUCAUCUGUCUGUGUUGUAUGCGCCAUUUCUGCAUUUACUCUCCCCAUCGAAACCAAAGGACGGGCCCUCCGGCAAAUUAAAUGAAGACCUGCAAAGCUAUGUCUACCAGAUGAGAAAAAUGAAUUCUAUCUUCAGAACUGCGGUGCAUUUUUUUAAAACUUGGUUUUACUUCUGUAUGCUACUCGGUAAUUAGUAAAGUGAUUUUUUUUUUAAAGGCAUAUAUGGGAAUGGGGUAGGUAACUGUAUAUUGAUCUCUU